GGAGACUUAGCCGACCUCCAUGUAGCCGUUCCCAUUCCAU
rnacentral:sRNA from 1 species